UUUCCCUACGGGAGGCAGCAGUGGGGAAUAUUGCACAAUGGGGGAAACCCUGAUGCAGCGACGCCGCGUGAGUGAAGAAGUAUUUCGGUAUGUAAACUUCUCUCAGCAGGGAAGAAAAAGGACGGUACCUGACUAAGAAGCCCCGGCUAACUACGUGCCAGCAGCCGCGGUAAUACGUAGGGGGCGAGCGUUAUCCGGAUUUACUGGGUGUAAAGGGGGCGCAGACGGCCAUGGCAAGCCCGGUGUGAAAGGUGCGGGCACAACCCGCAGACUGCACUGGUAACUGCCUGGCUGGAGGGCCGGAG
rnacentral:rRNA from 1 species